rnacentral:rRNA from 1 species
GACGAACGCUGGCGGCGUGCCUAAUACAUGCGAGUUGAGCGCUGAAGGUUGGUACUUGUACCGACUGGAUGAGCAGCGAACGGGUGAGUAACGCGUGGGGAAUCUGCCUUUGAGCGGGGGACAACAUUUGGAAACGAAUGCUAAUACCGCAUAAAAACUUUAUACACAAGUUUUAAGUUUGAAAGAUGCAAUUGCAUCACUCAAAGAUGAUCCCGCGUUGUAUUAGCUAGUUGGUGAGGUAAAGGCUCACCAAGGCGAUGAUACAUAGCCGACCUGAGAGGGUGAUCGGCCACAUUGGGACUGAGACACGGCCCAAACUCCUACGGGGGGCAGCAGUAGGGAAUCUUCGGCAAUGGACGAAAGUCUGACCGAGCAACGCCGCGGGAGUGAAGAAGGUUUUCGGAUCGUAAAACUCUGUUGGUAGAGAAGAACGUUGGUGAGAGUGGAAAGCUCAUCAAGUGACGGUAACUACCCAGAAAGGGACGGCUAACUACGUG